rnacentral:rRNA from 1 species
UUUUUAUUGAGAGUUUGAUCCUGGCUCAGGACGAACGCUGGCGGCGUGCCUAACACAUGCAAGUCGAGCGAUGAAGUUCCUUCGG